rnacentral:rRNA from 1 species
CCUACGGGAGGCAGCAGUGGGGAAUAUUGCACAAUGGGGGAAACCCUGAUGCAGCGAUGCCGCGUGGAGGAAGAAGGUUCUCGGAUUGUAAACUCCUUUUAUUAGGGACGAUAAUGACGGUAUCUGAAGAAAAUGCCCCGGCCAACUACGUGACAGCAGCCGCGGCAAUACGCAGGGAGCGAGCGUUGUCCGGAAUUACUGGGUGUAAAGGGAGCGUAGGCGGGUUGGCAAGUCAGUUGUGAAAGCUUAGGGCUCAACUUUCAGACUGCAUUUGAUACUGGUGUUCUUGAGUGCAGUAGAGGUAGGCGGAAUUCCUGGUGUAGCGGUGAAAUGCGUAGAUAUUAGGAAGAACAUCGAUGGCGAAGGCGGCUUGCUGGACUUUAACUGACGCUGAGGCUCGAAAGCGUGGGGAGCAAACAGGAUUAGAUACCCCGGUAGUC